rnacentral:rRNA from 1 species
GACGAACGCUGGCGGCGUGCUUAACACAUGCAAGCCGAACGAUGAAGCUGGAGCUUGCUCUAGCGGAUUAGUGGCGAACGGGUGAGUAACACGUGAGCAAUCUGCCCUUGACUCUGGGGUAACUGCGGGAAACUGUAGCUAAUACCGGAUACUUUCACCGGGGGGCAUCCUCUGGUGAUGAAAGAUUUUCGGUCAAGGAUGAGCUCGCGGCCUAUCAGCUUGUUGGUGAGGUAACGGCUCACCAAGGCGACGACGGGUAACCGGCCUGAGAGGGUGACCGGUCACACUGGGACUGAGACACGGCCCAGACUCCUACGGGAGGCAGCAGUGGGGAAUAUUGCACAAUGGGCGCAAGCCUGAUGCAGCAACGCCGCGUGAGGGAUGAAGGCCUUCGGGUUGUAAACCUCUUUUAGCAGGGAAGAAGCGAAAGUGACGGUACCUGCAGAAAAAGCACCGGCUAACUACGUGCCAGCAGCCGCAGUAA